GGCCGCGUGGCGCAAUGGAAAACGUGUCUGCCUAAGGAGCAGAAGAUUGCAGGUUCGAAUCCUGCCGUGGUCG
rfam:Angiostrongylus cantonensis strain Taiwan genome assembly, scaffold: ACAC_scaffold0004547